GACGAACGCUGGCGGCGUGCUUAACACAUGCAAGUCGAACGGUGAACUCCGCUUGCGGGGGGAUCAGUGGCGAACGGGUGAGUAACACGUGGGCAACCUGCCCUCAGCUCUGGGAUAACUCCAAGAAAUUGGGGCUAAUACCGGAUAUGACCGCUGACCGCAUGGUCUGGUGGUGGAAAGAUUUAUCGGCUGGGGAUGGGCCCGCGGCCUAUCAGCUUGUUGGUGGGGUAGUGGCCUACCAAGGCGACGACGGGUAGCCGGCCUGAGAGGGUGACCGGCCACACUGGGACUGAGACACGGCCCAGACUCCUACGGGAGGCAGCAGUGGGGAAUAUUGCGCAAUGGGCGAAAGCCUGACGCAGCGACGCCGCGUGGGGGAUGACGGCCUUCGGGUUGUAAACCUCUUUCAGCAGGGACGAAGCGAAAGUGACGGUACCUGCAGAAGAAGCACCGGCCAACUACG
rnacentral:rRNA from 1 species